UACUCCUACGGGAGGCAGCAGUAGGGAAUCUUCCACAAUGGGCGAAAGCCUGAUGGAGCAACGCCGCGUGUGUGAUGAAGGGUUUCGGCUCGUAAAACACUGUUAUAAGAGAAGAACGGCACUGAGAGUAACUGUUCAGUGUGUGACGGUAUCUUACCAGAAAGGAACGGCUAAAUACGUGCCAGCAGCCGCGGUAAU
rnacentral:rRNA from 1 species